rnacentral:lncRNA from 1 species
UUUCCUUACAUGAAAUCAGCGGUCGUCUACCUUCUGAACUGAAAGACAAACAAUUUUACUUAGCCUAGCAUAUUUGAUGAUUUACUGUUUGUUUACUUAUUUCUUCACUGCAAUUAACCACUAUGCAUUUGAGCAUUUGAUUCGUUAACUGAAUCUGAUUUCACGCAGACUUCAUGACUUUGACUUGCGAGAUUUGGUCCAACAUUGUGUUACACGCUUACAUUGGUGCUUUUCUGGAGUAACGAUCAAGCUGCAACAGUUUUGUGACUGCAGAAUCCAGCAGGGUAAAUCUUCGUUCCGUUUUGAUAAUCGACCGGUCACAUUGAUGCAAUCUUCUUGGUAUACCUAAUCAUCAUUGGAACUUAUUAGGUUUGCACUGGUAAAAUUAGCAAGUUGUAACUCUAGUAUGCAAGGUUGUUAGGUGCAUGAGGUUCAGAGGGUGUACUGUCAAAUUUCUUUUAUAUCUGAAAAGGACAUGUGAGCAAAUGGUGGAAGUACUUGUGUAGGGCUAUAACCCACAGAGCACCAUCUUUACACAUCACUACUGCACAGUAGUAAUUUGCACCACUAAAUGCCAAACCCCAUACAGUAACUCACAGAAAAGCUAAUGCCUGUGCUUCCCCUCUCUGUCUCUCCUCCACGCCUCCACCACUGUUUCUGCUUGCUGAUGUUGGAGAAGAUGAUCAGGGUUGUUGGUGUCGGUUGGUGGCAUCCAUUUCUGCUGCCUUUUUUUUUUUGUUCAGCCACUUGGCAUUGUGAUCUCCACAGCUGCUCUACAGAUUCCAGAGCUUGCCUGCACCAUUGUCUUCAUUAUGGGUGAGGGUGACAUCCACUUCUGAAACCAAAGCUCUUUCUAGCCUUGCAGGGUGUCUGAGGAGAAGAUAAACACGCUACACAGAAAUCAAUACACAAAGCAUGGUGAUCGGGGAUCACGAUCACGAUGAGAUGAGAUGAAAUACAGGAGGCAGCCUACUAGCUCAGAUUCCACGGUGAGCCAAGGUUCCAUUCCAUCAAUCCCAUGUACGUACUCCCUCUGCAAACUAAUAUAAGAUCAUUUAGAUCGCUACUUUAGUGAUCUAAACGAUCUUAUAUUAGUUUACAGAGGGAGUACUACUUUAUUUACUUAAGUCCAGCUUCAGACAAACCCCCAAGCUUGCUGUCUGUGUGGUGAGCAAGCUGUUUCUUUUCUCACACAAACCCCGGGACUAACAGCAGGUUGACAGAUCUAUUUGUAGCCUCUUAGUAGGUUUUUGCUAUAUGUCAUGACUCAUGACCUAAUCUUUGUUCGCAAUUUGAUGCCUGUCUGCCUGCAGUCAUGAAUUUCUUCAGCAAUCCUCAAAUGAGCUCAUGGUCUGCGUGUGUGCUACAGUGAAAUUAUAUGAUUCAGCAUGUGUAUCAACUCGGACACUUGGUAAACAGAUAUCAACUUGGUGAACGGAUGGAUACGGAAAACUUAUGAUUGAUGCUGGCUUGAUAGGUGCUGUUUGAUCCUCCCCCCUACACAGUCGGUGUCACAACGAACAUUGGAAGUUCAGACGGGAAGUUCACAACUUUUGACUUCGAGUCGCACGCGACCAAGUCAAGACCAAUAAUUCGGGUUAAAAAUAUCAUAAGGGAAAAAUUUAGGGUUGUCUACCUUCUGAACUGAAAGACUAAUACAGUUGUACUUAGCUUAGCACAUUCGAUGAUUCGAUGCUGCACUGUCUUAUUCCUUGUUUCUGUUUUGUGACUGCAGAAUUCAGCAGGGUGAAUUUCCGUUCCGUUUUGAAAACCGAGCAUUCAAAUUUCCGUUUUGCUCAGGUCACCUUGAUAUAUCUAAAUCAUCGUUGGAACUUAGGUUUGCACUGGUAAAAUUAGUAAGCUGUAACUCUAGUAUGCAAAGCUGUUAGGUGCAUGAGGGUGUGCUGUCAAAUUUCUUUUAUAUCUGAAAGGGACCUAUGAGCAAUUGGUGGAAGUACUUGUGUAGGGCUAUAACCCACAGAGCACCAUCUCUACACAUUACUACUACUGCACAGUAGUAAUUUGCACCACUAAAUGCCAAACCCCACACAUAACUCAAGUAAAAGCCAAUGCCUGUGCUUCCUCUCUCUGCCUCUCCUCCACCCCUCCAUCACUGUUUCUACUUGCUGAUGUUGGAGAAGAUGAUUAGGGUUGUUGGUGU